rnacentral:rRNA from 1 species
UACAGAGGUCUCAAGCGUUGUUCGGAUUCAUUGGGCGUAAAGGGUGCGUAGGCGGCGCGGUAAGUCGGGUGUGAAAUCUUGGAGCUUAACUCCGAAACUGCAUUCGAUACUGCCGUGCUUGAGGACUGGAGAGGAGACUGGAAUUUACGGUGUAGCGGUGAAAUGCGUAGAUAUCGUAAGGAAGACCAGUGGCGAAGGCGGGUCUCUGGACAGGUUCCUGACGCUGAAGCACGAAGGCCAGGGGAGCAAACGGG